UCAGGAUGAACGCUAGCUACAGGCUAACACAUGCAAGUCGAGGGGCAGCAUUGGGAUAGCUUGCUAUUCAGAUGGCGACCGGCGCACGGGUGAGUAACGCGUAUCCAACCUUCCUGCCAGUAGGGAACAGCCCGGCGAAAGUCGGAUUAAUGCCCUAUGUUCUUCAAUGCGGACAUCUAAGUUGAAGGAAAGAUUCAUCGCUGGCAGAUGGGGAUGCGUCCGAUUAGCUUGCCGCGGGUAACGGCCCACCGGGGCGACGAUCGGUGGGGGUUCUGAGAGGAAGGUCCCCCACACUGGUACUGAGACACGGACCAGACUCCUACGGGAGGCAGCAGUGAGGAAUAUUGGUCAAUGGGCGUAAGCCUGAACCAGCCAAGUAGCGUGCAGGGAAUGACGGCCCUACGGGUUGUAAACUGCUUUUAUGCGGGGAUAAAGUGCGGCACGUGUGCCGCUUUGCAGGUACCGCAUGAAUAAGGACCGGCUAAUUCCGUGCCAGCAGCUGC
rnacentral:rRNA from 1 species